CAGCAUAAUGUUGUUUGACUGAUACAUGAAAUCUCCAUAUGAUUUUGAGGUGGUGAAAGUUCUAUUCCUGAUGGCCCCAAAUUCCUGCCCUAUCACCUGUUCUUCCUCUACGCCACACUUGCGCCUUCAAAUUCCAAAGAAGGGACUUACAGAUAAGGAAGCUGAAGCUUUGAGAAUUUAAUUUGCUCAAGGGGAGGCCAGGACAAGAAAUAAUGAAGAGUCCGAUGUGGCAGGAAUGUAGGAAACAAGUCAAUGAUGGAAGAUAAAUAUGGAGACGUGAUGAAGGCAAAAUUCUGAAGGGUGAAGAAUGAAAUGUAGCAAUUGCCUUGGCCCUUAUAUGGGGGCUGGAAAAUGAAAACCACUGAAGGCUGAAACAGGCCAGGGAAGGAAAGGAACCAAAAGCAGGAUGCGCUGCAGGCUGACCAGCUGUUACAGGGAAGAUUAGAAGAUCAGAUCAAGUGCUCAGUUGGUUCUUCCUCCCUGUGUCCCCCAAACCAUCCAGGAGCAGGGGCUUGAAAGAUUUACAACACUUUACACUACUUCAACAGCUAUUUUAGUCCUUAGAUUUUAUUGCCCCAACCAUGGUCUCCUUGGGAACAGACUGAAUCUGGAUCCAGAAGUGGCUGCUGAGGGAGAAGGUAGACAAGGUAGACCAAGAGCAACUAAGUUACGAAAGCAUUUCAAGGAUGGAGUGAUCAACUGGACCAAAUGACACUGAGAGAUUAAGAAAAGAUGUA
rnacentral:lncRNA from 1 species